UUGUUAGAACACGAGACAGUGUUGAACACAAGGUUCAAUGUUGAAACUUUUUGCUACACACAGCGAGCGCAAGAAGAAGAUGAACAUUAGGAUGAAGACAGAACUCGCAAGCUUAAUGAAGACACCAAUAGAGAGAGGGUGGUUUAAUGGGUUCGCUGUUUCAACUCUGCUUCUUCGGUGUUGAAGGGCAUCACCACCCCCACUCUGCUUCAGCCCAGAGUGCUACUUUACGACGCCGUUUCCCAUCUCUGCCACAGAGAGCAGACAAGGAUAGAAAGAUCAAAUUUUGUUGUGUUCAGUCUGAUGCUGCUGAGCCCUAUUUGAGAGCUUGUGGUCUUGAAUGAGAGGAUGUCCUGCUUUGCAUUUUGUUCAUUGAAGGCCUCAAUGUAUACUCUCAGGGAUCCACUGCAAAACGAAGGUACAAAUGGUUUGGUGAGGCUGAAGAUUAUUUGGUUUUGCAAGAGAUGAGUCGAGAUCUGGAUUCGUAGUUUUAGCUGCUGCCUGGAGGCAUCAGCCACAAUGCACACUUACAGUCAUGAUUUUUCUUUUGUUAGCUUCCUGUCUUUUACAACGCUAAACUGUAAAUUUGAAGUGCUUUCACCAAUAGUGUCCUUAACCCAAAAUCACUUACCCCUGGAUCAAAAUACAAACUUUUAAGUAUAUUUUGGAAUGAUAUUCUUGAGAAUUACAUAAAUAUCAAUAUGGUGUGUAGAUA